CUAGCAGUUGACUGACUUCAGUGCCAGUAUAUAAUUUUUAUUAAAUGCUUAUACAAAUACAGAAUAGGAACACAGAGCCACUGAAGAAUGGAAGGAUGGAAAGGAGGAGGGUAGAAGGGAGGGAGACGCACACCUUCCGAUCAUGUCCAGUACAUGAUAGGAGUGGAAAGGACUAGAGACAGCGGGGCCGAGGUCCUGAGCUACAGUGGACCCGGGGCCCCAUGGCUCUUCAUAAGGUGCCCAUCCCACCCGGUGCCUGGUCCGCAGAGUGUGCUCCAAGCACAGAAUGCCGCCACCAUUUCCAAUUAGAAUCAAUUCCCCAAACCACCUCCAAAGGUCCUCCUGCUUCACAUUUCAUUGCACCCCGAGGAACACAGAAGCCACAGGGUGGAUGGAAUCACUGGCUGCGCAAAUGCUUUCAUUAUAAUGGGUCCCAUUCUCUCUGAACCUUUCAUGUCCCCAGUGGACUUCCAUCACUUGCAAGCCACAACUCUGGGUUUUAUCUAAUUUCAGUGAAAGGGAAAUGGCACUUGGCUCUGCUACUUUCAUCAUGGGAAAUUAUCAUCAGGCAGUCAGGAUCACGUGCGCCUAAUGCCGGCCUGGGUCUUCAGAACAGAGGAGGAGGGAGAAGAAAGAGGCUAAGUGAGCUACCUCUUCAAAAGCAGAACAAGUCACCUGUGGAAGUCACCACGAGUUGGGCUGAGGAAUGUGACCUCUAUCCUGCAGUAAUGGAGAGAAGGACCAGUAACACGCCUGGGGGAGAUGGGCAGUCUUUGAGCAAGCGGUCCUCCCAGCAUGCAUCUGUCUGGUUGUCCAGCAGGUAUGGAGCAAACAGGUACCCUUCGUCAGGCUCUAGGCCAAAAACUGGGAACAAAGUCUAGCGAAGAAAGUCCUCCCUGCAGGUGCUCAGUGUGGCAGGGGUGGGAUGACGGGCAUAGGAUGGCGGGGGUGGGAUGGCAGGGGCAGGAGAGACACUGAGCCCUCAGCCAGUAAGCACCCUGGCAAGCGUGUGGGGAAAGGCAGGACAGAGCCCACAGGGGUCCAGGGGUGUGGGACAUAAUCCUCCCUGGCAAGGAAAGCCAAGGCAGCAUCUGGGCCGAGUCCUUGGACGUGCCAGCAGUGAAGAGGGACCGGCAUGUGAAACUCAUGGGGCAGCCCUGCAGUGACCCAGCAAGUGGAAGGGUGACAGUUCCCUCUCACAGGGAGCUCCCAGUGUGAGCAUGGAGGACCACGGGAAGGUGCUGUGAAGGUGGGCAACACCCAGCUCUCAGAGGGGCUUGCAAGCUAAGGAACUGAAAUUUUGUCUGAAAGUAUGUGGUCAGGUACAGAAGAAGUAACAAAGGCAACAAGAUCGAAAUUCUAGAAAAGCCAUUUUGGCUGCAGUGGGGAGGGUGGAUUAUAGAAGAGAGACACAGGCAGGGAGGACAGUUAAGAGGCUGCUGCUGCAGGCCAGGGAACACUGGUGGAGGCUGAACUUCAUGGUGACUGGCUGGUCAUGGGGAUGGUGGAGAAGGGGAACUCCAGGUCUGUACAACCAGGUGACUGUGGGAUGGCUGCCCGAAUGGGGAAAACACGAGCAAAGAGUUUCAGAGGCGGCUGAAGAGCACAGGUCUGGACAUGCUAAGGUUGAUGUGGCUGUGGGGUGCAGAGAGAAGUUGUAAUCAUGGGGCUCAGGCUUGAGAGAGGGGCCAGGGCCACAGAGAAUGUUCCUCAGCAUGACAGUGAAGCCACAGGUAUGCAAGAAGCUGUCAGUGAGGGAAAGAAGGGUGCAAAGAGCUGACAGCCAAGGACAGAACUGCAGAGAAUACCAGGAAAGAGGAGUCCAAGGAGGGCACAGCGAGGGGCAGGAGGAGCUGCAGGAGCAACUGGUCCCAUGGAAGCCACGAGAGGAGAGGAGUUUCCAGAAUGAGAGAGUGGCCAGCCACAGUCAACACUGUGAGAGGCCAAAGAAUUUGGAUUUGGCAAUAAAAAAUUCUUCAGGGGAUUUAUCAGAAGUAGGUUCCGUGGAGUGGCAGAGAACACCUGGUCAUGGGAAGUAGAGGGGAAAGGAGGAGGAUAACAGUGGAUAUGGUGAAUGAGGGCUUCUUCUAUUUUGAGGUCACCUGCAAAGGGGGUUUAACAGGAAGCUCAGUGGAGGAUGGGGGCCACCCAUCUGUCCUUUCAAGACAGGAAAGACUUAUACAGGUUCAUCUGCUGAAAAGAGUCCAAUGAGAUUCACAGGUUCAAGAUAUGGCAGAGACGAGGUGAGCGCACCUACAUUAUGCCUGGGACACAAAAAUGAAAUGAACAUGGCUCCUGCCUGCAGGGAGUGUGCAGUCCAUUAUGGGGGUCGAUACGCAUCCACAUAAAAAACAGGGACAAACAGAAGAGCACAAAUAGAGCGCUGUGAGCAUUCAGAUGCAUCUGUGAAAUGCGUGUAUGAUGCGAGCUGGGAAUUUGGGAGCAGCAAAAACAGAGCCCCUGUACUCUAAAGCUGUAAAGGACCCUGGAGAUCAUGCAGUCAGUGCCCUCGGCUGACAGGUAUGAAGGGAAUAAGUGACUGCAUAGACACAGGUGAUUAACGACAGAGCUGGGAACACACAACUCUAAUAUCUCCACUCAAUCUGGUGAUGCCUCCCCUAAACCACACUGCUUCUCCAUAAAAUGUCCAAUGUGGGACUUGGCCAUAUGAGCCUUCGGUUAAGAACGGCAUGCUUCACUCACUGAAGGGGGCAGACACACACUGUUUGAAGGCACCUGCAAUAUUGCCUUAGGGGAAAGUAAUCUUCCCUUCCCCCUAACUCCUGUAGGACCUGAUCUCUAUAGCUGUAUGACUCGUAUGACACCAAGACUGCAGUCUUAGCAUUCGUGCAGCUGCUCAGAGAAUUGGCUUGUGCUGCCGUAAGACUCUGCAGAAGGCUCGGCGAAGCAGCAGUGGUGGUGAUAACUCAGCUACUGCCACUGCACACCCUGAACUUUGUUUUGCUCUUUCCUGGGCUCAGCAGGGGAAAAAUCAACUUCGCAGAGCCAUGGAUUGUCAGACCAUGGUGAAUUCUGAAUAGAUGGUCACCCCACUUCAGACGCUAUAUGUUAGAUGCUGGCAAGAGGAAGAUGAGAAGCGGUUCUCAUUGUGAUGGAGCUUGCAGUGUGGUACGAGAGAUAGAUACAGCAACCAUUUCCCACAGUGUGAUAACAGGCAUGUUAAGAGCUGUACGGUGGGAACUCAGAGAAGAGACACCACACACAGAUGGAGGAAGGACACACUGGGGAAGGCGUCUAAGAUGAAGCUAUGUCUGCAUUCAUUCUCAAAGGAAUCCUCAUGUUAACCAGAAGAUGUGGAAAGGACAUUUCAGGGAAAAGAACAAUUUAUUUGGAGGCACAGAACAAGAGAAAAUAGGCCCUACUGUUGAUUAAGAACAAUGAUAUGAUAUCCUAACCAACAGAGGAAGCAACGGAAGUUGUUUUUUUUUUGAGACGGAGUCUCGCUCUUUCGCCCAGGGUGGAGUGCAGUGGUGUGAUCUCGGCUUACUGCAAGCUCCGCCUCCCGGUUCACGCCAUUCUCCUGCCUCAGCCUCCUGAGUAGCUGGGACUACAGGUGCCCAUCACCACGCCUGGGUAAUUUUUUUUGUAUUUUUAGUAGAGACGGGGUUUCACCAUGUUAGCCAGGAUGGUCUCGAUCUCCUGACCUUGGGAUCCACCCACCUCGGCCUCCCAAAGUGCUGGGAUUAUAGGCGUGAGCCACCACGCCCGGCCAAUGGAAGUUGUUAAAAAGAACAUUCGCCGAAAACAAGACACCUAAAGCACAAGACUAACAGUGAGGAGUAUGUUCAUGGGCUGGAGAAUUUCAAGUAAAAAGAAAUUUCAUUCCUGAAUGAAAUCCUCCCUAGGUGCCAGGACAGGCGGCAGCCAGUGGCCACACCCUGAGCACCCUUCUCAAGAGCUAAUGAUGAAAUGAGUGGGGUCAGAACUGUUGCUUCUCAACUGCUUCCCCAUGACUAGGGAUCCUGGCCCUCCCUGCUGCCAGAAUUAGAUGGGGCUGGAGGCAGGAUCUCAUGCUCUGCCCUGCACAUGCCUGCAGGUCCCAGUAGACAGCAGGAGACCAGGGGAGGGCCCAGGUGAAGUGGUGGUCGCUAAUUCAACGUACCUACUGUGUGGCUAGGGUCAGGGUUGCCGUUGAGGCCAAUUCCCAGGGGCUACCUCCUUCCUCCGUCUAUGAUAAGGGAGCACACGAUCUUCCAGAAUUUUUGCAAGGAGUCUCUGAAGAGACGUGUGCUAAUUAAACUGAGGAUGCAUCUCCAGCCACACAGAAUGAGAAGUUUUAAUUCAGGAGUGAGUAUUUUUUAGCACAGUAUGGGCUGUAUCUAAAAAAUCUUUAGUGGUCUGUGCUGUCAUGAUCUGUCUACACUGUUCAUUGAGUCUAAGAAUUUUACAAACACCAGCCUCUGACUUUACAGAGUGGUUUUCCUGAGUCAUGAUGAAACAAUUAAUGAGUCUAUUACUUAUGUUCAUCUCAGCUGCACUUGCAGCAAGCCUGGAAGAUGACAGGAGAUCUCCGGUCCUCUCACGCAAGGCUGCAGCAUGCCUGCAUGGAAACGGCGGGAGCAUGAGUUUUGGAAAUAGAUCCUGUUGACAGGAGUAAAUGGGACUUCACACGUUUCUUCAAGUUCACAUUGCUAUCAAGAAAGGCUUCUAAACCCAUUCAUGUGAAGAUUUCCUUGACGGUACAUGAAUUUUUAGAAGUUUUUUUUUUUUUUUUUUGAAGAAUAACACUUUGCCUAAAGCCACACGUUAAGGUACUGGUUAACUUCUUGGUCUUUAUUUAGCCCUAUUUGUUUAAAAACCAAUGAAACAUAGUGAAAGGGGAAAUUUCAAGGGCUCCUUCCCUUCCCUCCUCCUGGGGUGAAGGAACUAGAGUCAAGUGUGGUCCUGAGAAGGUAUCUGCUGAAGCUCUGUUGCUCCUGUGUACUAAGAAUCAGUGUCCUAUGCACAAUCAAGGUGAGCUCGUGGAGGGGAGCAUCUUGGCACACAGAGGUAUGGCCCUUCAGGGGUCUCCUUGGGCUUUCAGUGAGCUGGAGCUUCUUGAGGACAGGCCCCUGUCUCACUGUCCCUUCUACCCCAAAGCUAAGCUUCUGCACCCACGACAGCACACAGUGGCUUGGUUCUGACCCAGCACCAGUUGCCACCGGCGCCUCCAUCCCUGUCGCCCUGGUAGGAGCCACCUGUUGGUGGCGGACCACACAAGCCUCCUAGCAUCGGGCCUCCCCCUUCAUCCCACCUCCUGGGGAUAAGCGGCCCAUGGUCCUCCCAUCUCUUCUCCCUCCCUACACACACACUGUCCCAGAGCUGAGUGGUCCACCCUGGUCUUCACCCUGGCUGGCCUGUGACUGGGCCUGAUGCCCCUCACUCCUGAGUAAGCUGACCUUCCACGCUUCACACAAGGCCCCAGCUGUGACUCAUGAAAAUGAAAAUGAGAGUACGACUUUAGAGCAAAGCCAUUUCUCAAGUCUGAGGGGUAAGUGCACGCACAGAGCACUGCACACAGUUCUGCCAACAGCUGUCACCACCUGGUGCCGCCGUGAAGCUGGCCACAGAGCAGCUGCACUCAGCAGCCAUGCUCUCCAGAGUCACUGCUAUGGACAGUCUCGUGGGACUCUCUGAAGCCCUCUGCCUCGGUGGGUCUCUGCUGUAGGAAGGGAGGGUUCCGAGCCAACACAGGCCUAGUCUGGAGACCGAGUCCUAGGGGAAGGAAGUGGCUGCGGGCAGGGGGCACAGCUGGUUCCUCACACAUAGGAGAACUCAUGUUGGAACUUGUUUAACCCCAGCCAUCACCAAUUGAUGAGUUAACCACCUUUAACACGAGAUUCAAUAAAACAUGCCAUUUUUAACCUGAAA